UUAGAAAUUUUAUUAUAAUAAUUACCUUUUAACAUAUUUUGGUUUUUUCAUAUAAAUUUUUGAGAAAAAUACAAUUUGUGUCCCUGUGGUAUGUAUGAAACAUCAACCUGAGCCCCUAAAUUCAUUUUUUGGUUUUUUGAGCCACUGAGCUUAUAAAUUCAUAACAAUUUGAGUCCCUCCGUCACACUUCCGUCUGUUUGACUAUUUGACAAUUGUGAAAUGUCCUUUAUACCCUUAUUGAUAAACAUUAACCUAAGCCACUAAAAUUAUUUAUAGGACCCACCCACCACCUCUUCAUCUUUAACCUUCACACAUCAACAUCCACCACCAUUAUUCUACCUCAACCCAUUAGAUCAAAACAGAGAGAGAGAGAGAGUCACGAGACAUAGAAAUUACGAGAGAGAGGAGCCGGUGAACUUCCGAUUGGCGACACCACUCCGGUAUGUGCACACCUUCAACUGCUAAAGUGAGGAAAGCUGGAAAGAAUGGCUGCGGAUGUAAAUAUACGCAAAACACCAACUACGAAAACAUUGGCGAGAAUACUUGACAACCUCCUGGAAGAUGGUGCGGUGCACAUAAGGAAGUGAUUGAUCAGAACGAUCAAUUGCAUAUGAAUGAAUAUAACCCCAGUGGCAGAUAUGUAAUUAGCGAGCUCUGGAAUUUCAAGGAAAAUCGAAGAGCUACACUAAAGGGGGUUAUCAGCUACAUUCCGAAGUGCACCAGUCAGUAAAGAUCCACAAUUUCUUGAACCAGUACACGGUCUUGUUUACGUUGUAUGUUACGGUGUAUGUUACGGUCUUUUGUUAUCGAGUCUGUAAGUUCCGUCAAGUCUACCAAGUUUAACUUAGUGAUAUGUUCUGUCCAUGUUUGAUGCUUAA